AGACGGAGGGGGCGAGCGUUGUUCGGAAUUACUGGGCGUAAAGGGCGCGCAGGCGGUCACAUAAGUCGGAGGUGAAAGCCCACGGCUCAACCGUGGAAUUGCCUUCGAAACUGUGUGACUUGAGUACGGAAGAGGAGAGCGGAAUUCCCAGUGUAGCGGUGAAAUGCGUAGAUAUUGGGAGGAACACCAGUGGCGAAGGCGGCUCUCUGGUCCGAAACUGACGCUGAGGCGCGAAAGCCAGGGGAGCAAACGGGAGUAGAUACCCCAGUAGUCC
rnacentral:rRNA from 1 species